rnacentral:rRNA from 1 species
AGAGCGAACGCUGGCGGCAGGCUUAACACAUGCAAGUCGAGCGGGCGUAGCAAUACGUCAGCGGCAGACGGGUGAGUAACGCGUGGGAACGUACCUUUUGGUUCGGAACAACACAGGGAAACUUGUGCUAAUACCGGAUAAGCCCUUACGGGGAAAGAUUUAUCGCCGAAAGAUCGGCCCGCGUCUGAUUAGCUAGUUGGUGAGGUAAUGGCUCACCAAGGCGACGAUCAGUAGCUGGUCUGAGAGGAUGAUCAGCCACAUUGGGACUGAGACACGGCCCAAACUCCUACGGGAGGCAGCAGUGGGGAAUAUUGGACAAUGGGCGCAAGCCUGAUCCAGCCAUGCCGCGUGAGUGAUGACGGCCUUAGGGUUGUAAAGCUCUUUCGCUAGGGACGAUAAUGACGGUACCUAGACAAGAAGCCCCGGCUAACUUCGUGCCAGCAGCCGC